UCAGAAGAGGUGCGAUACUUAGGUACUUAAUGUGAGGCAACGACAGCCUGCGAUCAUUAAGGAGGGAAGUACUCGCCGAGGAAAAUAAUGGGUCGUUACCAUUGUUUUUCGGUUUAUGGGGCUGAAUCCUCAAAACUGUCACCAAUUUAGGUGGAGAGCUUCUGG
rnacentral:ncRNA from 1 species